GGAGAAAUACUCAAGUGGCUGAAGAGGCGCCCCUGCUAAGGGUGUAGACCGCUAACGCGGUGCGAGGGUUCAAAUCCCUCUUUCUCCG
rnacentral:tRNA from 1 species